rnacentral:tRNA from 1 species
UACAGGGUGUAAUGGUAGCACAACUGACUCUGGAUCAGUUUGUUGAGGUUCGAGUCCUUAACCGGGAGCCA